CAAUGUCAUGAGUUCAGUUCAGGGCAGUGUCCCUGGUCUGUUAAUUAAACUCUGAGACAUUGAACUGGCUGGGGUAGAUGACUGCAUCAAAAAUAUUCCUCUAUUCAUUUACCUCCCGGCUUACAAAA